UACGGAGGGGGCGAGCGUUAUUCGGAAUUAUUGGGCGUAAAGGGCGUGUAGGCGGCUUGACAAGUCAAAGGUGAAAUCCCUCGGCUCAACUGAGGAACUGCCUUUGAAACUGUCUGGCUUGAGGCCGGGAGGGGGUAGCGGAAUUCCCAGUGUAGCGGUGAAAUGCGUAGAUAUUGGGAGGAACACCAGUGGCGAAGGCGGCUACCUGGACCGGUUCUGACGCUGAUGCGCGAAAGCGUGGGUAGCAAACAGG
rnacentral:rRNA from 1 species